rnacentral:rRNA from 1 species
AGAGUUUGAUCCUGGCUCAGGACGAACGCUGGCGGCGUGCUUAACACAUGCAAGUCAACUUGAAGGGGCAACCCUGAUGGUGGCGAACGGGUGAGUAACGCGUAGAUAACCUGCCCCUUAGUUUGGGAUAACCUCGGGAAACUGGGACUAAUACCGGAUACUAUCUUUGGUUGGCAUCAACUGGAGAUGAAAGAUCUUGAAUCGCUGAGGGAGGGGUCUGCGUACUAUUAGAUAGUUGGCGAGGUAACGGCUCACCAAGUCAUUGAUAGUUAGCUGGUCUGAGAGGAUGAUCAGCCACACUGGGACUGAGAUACGGCCCAGACUCCUACGGGAGGCAGCAGUGAGGAAUAUUGCACAAUGGGGGCAACCCUGAUGCAGCAACGCCGCGUGAGUGAUGAAGCAGUUUAUCUGUGUAAAGCUCUGUUGGGAGGGACGAAUUGUAGGGUUAGUUGCCUUAUUUGACGGUACCUCCUGAGGAAGCUCCGGCUAACUCCGUGCCAGCAGCCGCGGUAAUACGGGGGGAGCAAGCGUUGUCCGGAUUUAUUGGGCGUAAAGGGCAUGUAGGUGGUCUUUUAAGUCAGUUGUUAAAACUAUCGGCUUAACCGGUAAUUGCAAUUGAUACUGGAAGACUUGAAUUUGAGAGGGGAUAGUGGAAUAUCAAGUGUAGCGGUGGAAUGCGUAGAUAUUUGAUAGAACACCUGAGGUGAAGACGACUAUCUGGCUCAUGAUUGACACUGAAAUGCGAAAGUAUGGGGAGCAAACAGGAUUAGAUACCCUGGUAG